CUUUUCUCUGCUUAACUCGGCAGCACUGGUUCCUGGAACACCAUAAAUGCUCAAUUAGUCUCAGUAUCCAUUGAAUGAAUGUACGCCUGUCACAGCAGAAUUUCACCUGUGUCAGAGCCAACAUUGAGUUUGGCCUUUCCAGGCCCCUCCCCAGUCUGUGUGCUCAAGUACUCCCAGCUGCCAGCAGCACCUGUUACUCGUGUGCUCCGACCUUCUGACCAUGAAGCCAAUGAGAGACUCGGCUCAGGAACCAACAUAUGUUACGGUCAUUGUUCUCAGAAGCAGUGGAGGUAGGACCGGUACAGAACUCAUAUGGUCGCUGUGCAAAGAUUGGCACGGGUGGGGAGUGAGGGCACCGUGCCUGGAGACCCUGUAACUGUUGUCAACUAUUCUCACUGGCUGUAUGGCAGAAAGGAAUAUUAUCGAAGCAGCAGGCCAGCCUUCCAAAGCUGCUGAUCCUUCCACGGCAGCUCAGACCUCGCUCCCUGAUGUGUUGGUGAUAUGUGCCAACGAAUAUAUUCCAAAUGUGUCGCAAAUAUAUUCCAGAUGCGUCAAGAAUUUCAGUAUUUUCCUGUGUAAUAAAACCUCAGUGGAGAAUCA